CCUACGGGUGGCUGCAGUAGGGAAUCUUUCACAAUGGGCGAAAGCCUGAUGGAGCAACGCCGCGUGCAGGAUGAAGGCCUUCGGGUUGUAAACUGCUUUUAUCAGCGAGAAAUAUGAUGGUAACUUAUUAAUCAGGAUCGGCUAACUCCGUGCCAGCGGCCGCGGUCAUACGUAGGAUCCGAGCAUUAUCCGGAGUUACUGGGUGUAAAGAGUUGCGUUGGUGGGAUAACAAGUAGCUGAUUAAAUCGGGUGGCUCAAACAUUCAGACUAUUAGCUAAACUGUUAAGCUCGAGGCCGUUAGGGGUAACUGGAAUUUCUGGUGUAGGAGUGAAAUCCGUAGAUAUUAGAAGGAACACCAAGAGCGUAGGCAGGUUGCGGGGACGGAUCUGACACUAAGGCACGAAAGCGUAGGGAGCAAACAGGAUUAGAUACCCCAGUAGUC
rnacentral:rRNA from 1 species